GCCGAUUUAGCUCAGUCGGUAGAGCGCCAGCCUUUUAAGCUGGUGGUCGCGGGUUCGAGCCCCGUAGUCGGCU
rfam:Eimeria necatrix Houghton genomic scaffold, Enh_scaff110